GGCGGUGUCAACGAGUCAGAUCUUCUGGCCUGAGAAGGUUGGGUAAACUGGUCAAUCACCGUCAUGACAGGGAUCGGGGCUUGGAAUUGUUCCCCGUGAACGAGGAAUUCCUAGUAAGUGCAAGUCAUAAGCUUGCGCUGAUUACGUCCCUGCCCUUUGUACACACCGCCCGUCGCUACUACCGAUUGAAUGGUUUAGUAAGGUCCUUGGAUUGGCGCCAUUUAGGUGCCGCCGAAAGGUGCGUACCUAGCCGGUGCUGAGAAGACGACCAAAC
rnacentral:rRNA from 1 species